rnacentral:ncRNA from 1 species
UCUUAUCGAGAGAGGUGUAGGGACAGGCCCGAUGAUACCUCAGCAGCGGACCGUAAAAGGUACUGUGCUAAUUCCUCGAGCUUUCUAAAGCUUGAAGAUGAGA